rnacentral:rRNA from 1 species
AUUGAACGCUGGCGGCAUGCCUUACACAUGCAAGUCGAACGGCAGCAUGGGUGCUUGCACCUGAUGGCGAGUGGCGAACGGGUGAGUAAUGCAUCGGAACGUACCCGGAAGUGGGGGAUAACGUAGCGAAAGUUACGCUAAUACCCCCUAUUCUGUGAGCAGGAAAGAUGGGGAUCGCAAGACCGCUCGCUUUCGGACCGGCAGAUGUCCGAUUAGCUAGUAGGCGGGGUAAAGGCCCACCAAGGCAACGAUCCGUAGCGGGUCUGAGAGGAUGAUCCGCCACACUGGGACUGAGACACGGCCCAGACUCCUACGGGAGGCAGCAGUGGGGAAUUUUGGACAAUGGGGGCAACCCUGAUCCAGCCAUGCCGCGUGAGUGAAGAAGGCCUUCGGGUUGUAAAGCUCUUUCGGCUGGGAAGAAAUCGCAUCUCCUAAUACGGGGUGUGGAUGACGGUACCAGCGUAAGAAGCACCGGCUAACUACGUGCCAGCAGCCGCGGUAA